GAACGAACGGACGUAUACGCGCACCAGCGCGCACUAGCGAGCGCAACACUGCUGACCAGAAGAGAGGAGGACUCCGUAAAAGCAGCAACUUCGUACCCAGACAACACUAAUCACUGCGUGCGGACGUAUGCCGGCCGAUAUAGAUUCACCGAACUGCCCUACGAGCAACGGGAACUAUAUAGCAAGCAGGAAAUGUGAUGACGCAGCUUCAAUAGAGAGCAAAACAGGGAGCAACGGAAACCGUGAAAAAAAAAAAAAAAAAAAAAGAAAAA